rnacentral:rRNA from 1 species
GAUCCUGGCUCAGAACGAACGCUGGCGGCGUGGAUAAGACAUGCAAGUCGUACGAGGAACCGAAUAGCUUGCUAAUUGGUUCCUAGUGGCGGACGGGUGCGUAACACGUGAGCAACCUGCCCUGAAGCGGGGGAUAGCCCUCCGAAAGGAGGAUUAAUACCGCAUGUGAUCUCCGGAUCAAAGACGGCUUCGGCUGUCGCUUCAGGAUGGGCUCGCGGCCUAUCAGCUUGUUGGCGAGGUAACGGCCCACCAAGGCGACGACGGGUACCUGGUCUGAGAGGACGAUCAGGCACACUGGAACUGAGACACGGUCCAGACACCUACGGGUGGCCGCAGUCGAGAAUCAUUCACAAUGGGCGCAAGCCUGAUGGUGCAACGCCGCGUGGAGGAUGAAGGCCCUCGGGUCGUAAACUCCUGUCAUCAGGGAGUAAGCCUUGUUCGUUAACAGCGUGCAAGGUUGAUAGUACCUGAAGAGGAAGGGACGGCUAACUUCGUGCCAGCAGCCGCGGUAAUACGAAGGUCCCAAGCGUUGUUCGGAAUCACUGGGCGUAAAGAGUAUGUAGGCGGUUCGGAAAGUCAGAUGUGAAAGCCCGGGGCUCAACUCCGGAACUGCAUCCGAUACUCCCGAACUAGAGUAGUGGAGGGGUGACUGGAAUUCUCGGUGUAGCAGUGAAAUGCGUAGAUAUCGAGAGGAACACUCGUGGCGAAGGCGAGUCACUGGACACUUACUGACGCUGAGAUACGAAGGCCAGGGGAGCGAAAGGGAUUAGAUACCCCUGUAGUCCUGGCAGUAAACGGUGCGCGCUUGGUGUGGGAGGAUUCGACCCCUCCCGUGCCGGAGCUAACGCGUUAAGCGCGCCGCCUGGGGAGUACGGNCGCAAGGCUAAAACUCAAAGAAAUUGACGGGGACCCGCACAAGCGGUGGAGUAUGUGGCUUAAUUCGAUGCAACGCGAAGAACCUUACCUGGGCUUGACAUGCUCGUCAUACC